rnacentral:rRNA from 1 species
AGAGUUUGAUCCUGGCUCAGGACGAACGCUGACGGUGUGCUUUAGACAUGCAAGUCGAACGAGAAAGCCCUUCGGGGUGAGUACAGUGGCGAACGGGUGAGUAACACGUGGGUAACCUGCCCCCCGCAGGGGGACAACUGGGGGAAACCCCGGCUAAUACCCCGUACGCUCCGAGGGUCGCAUGGCCUUCGGAGGAAAGGUAGCUUCGGCCAUCCGGCGAGGGAUGGGCCCGCGGUCCAUUAGCUAGUUGGUGGGGUAACGGCCCACCAAGGCGACGAUGGAUAGCUGGUCUGAGAGGACGAUCAGCCACACUGGGACUGAGACACGGCCCAGACUCCUACGGGAGGCAGCAGUCGGGAAUCUUGCGCAAUGGGCGAAAGCCUGACGCAGCAACACCGUGUGGGUGACGAAGGCCUUCGGGUCGUAAAGCCCUGUUGUUGGGGACGAAGGGCGAAGGGUUAAUAGCCCCUAGCUUGACGGUACCCUUCGAGGAAGCCCCGGCUAACUACGUGCCAGCAGCCGCGGUAAUACGUAGGGGGCGAGCGUUGUCCGGAAUUAUUGGGCGUAAAGAGCGUGUAGGCGGUUCGGUAAGUCUGCCGUGAAAACCUGGGGCUCAACCCCGGGCGUGCGGUGGAUACUGCCGGGCUAGAGGGUGGUAGAGGCGAGUGGAAUUCCCGGUGUAGCGGUGAAAUGCGCAGAUAUCGGGAGGAACACCAGUAGCGAAGGCGGCUCGCUGGGCCAUUCCUGACGCUGAGACGCGAAAGCUAGGGGAGCGAACAGGAUUAGAUACCCCAGUAGUCC